GAUGAACGCUAGCUACAGGCUUAACACAUGCAAGUCGAGGGACCGGCGUACGGGUGAGUAACGCAUAUCCAACCUUCCCAUUACUGUGGGAUAACCUGCCGAAAGGCAGACUAAUACCGCAUAGUAAUGGGUGGGGAUGCGUCUGAUUAGCUUGUUGUCGGGGGAACGGCCCACCAAGGCGACGAUCAGGAGGGGUUCUGAGAGGAAGGUCCACCAGAUUGGAACUGCGACACGGUCCAAAACCGUAGGCGACGCAGCAGUGAGGUCUAUUAGGCACGGGACGGAAGUCGGAACCAGCCAAGUAGCGUGCAGGAUGUCGGGCUAUGGUUUGUAAACUGCUUUUGUAUGGCGAUAGGUACCAUAUGAAUAAGGACCGGCUAAUUCCGUGCCAGCAGCCGCGGUAAUUC
rnacentral:rRNA from 1 species